rnacentral:rRNA from 1 species
AACCUGGUUGAUCCUGCCAGUAGUCAUAUGCUUGUCUCAAAGAUUAAGCCAUGCAUGUCUAAGUAUAACCUUUAUACGGUGAACCUGCAGAAGGAUCAACUACAAGCAUGUAGAUAAACUAAAGAACUUUCGCGCUUCGGCGUUUUGGAUAACCGCAGUAAAUCGGGGCUAAUACAUAUAAACGAGAGGAUGAGCGGGCAACUGCGAGUCUUUGCGAUUGUUAGCUUUUUCACCAAUCUCUUCGGAGUUUGUGGUGAAUCCCUACAAUAUUGCUGAUCGGAAACUUGUUUCCGACGAGUUCUUUGUGUCACUGCCCUAUCAACUUUCGAUGGUAAGGUAUUGGCUUACCAUGGUUGUAACGGGUGACGGGGAAUCAGGGUUCGAUUCCGGAGAGGGAGCCUGAGAAAUGGCUACCACUUCUACGGAAGGCAGCAGGCGCGCAAAUUACUCAAUCCCAAUACGGGGAAGUAGUGACAAAAAAUACUAAUGCCUUUCCAUUUAUAUGGGGGGCAAUUGGAAUAAGUACAACUUAAAUCGCUUAACAAAAGUGAUUGGAGGGCAAGUCUGGUGCCAGCAGCCGCGGUAAUUCCAGCUCCAAUAGCGUAUACUAAAUUUGUUGCAGUUAAAAAGCUCGUAGUUGAGAUUGAGAUUCUUUGGGUUUAACAGUCAGCAUUGCCUUCACCGGUUAAUGCUUUGAUCUGUAAAGCUUUAUAGCAGAAUUUCAUUUUGUUAUUAAAGUUACCAAAGAAUUUCUAUCUGCCCAUGGUAGCCAGCAAUGGUUAUCAAUCGGGUGAUCUACUGUGAGAAAAUUGUAGUGUUCAAAGCAGGCGUCUUACGUUUGUUCAAUGCAGCAUGGUAUAGUAAAAUAUGACACUUAACAUAUGUUGGUUGUAUGUUUUAGUGUAAUGACUAAUAGGGAAGGGCGGGGCCGUUCAUAUUGAUGGGCGAGAGGUGAAAUUCGUUGACCCUAUCAAGAUGCACUACAGCGAAAGCAUUCGGCAAGUACUUCUCCAUUAAUCAAGAACGAAAGUUUGGGGAUCGAAGACGAUCAGAUACCGUCGUAGUCCAAACCAUAAACUAUGUCGACCAGGGAUUGGACGGAUAAUUUUUUAAAAACUCGCUCAGAACCUUGUGAGAAAUCAUGAGUGUUUGGACUCUGGGGGGAGUAUGGUCGCAAGUCUGAAACUUAAAGGAAUUGACGGAAGGGCACACAAUGGAGUGGAACCUGCGGCUUAAUUUGACUCAACUCGGGAAAACUUACCAAGCUCAGAUAUAAUAAGGAUUGACAGACUAAAAGAUCUUUCAUGAUUGUAUAAGUGGUGGUGCAUGGUCGUUCUUAGUUGGUGGAGUGAUUUGUCUGGUCAAUUCCGAUAACGGACGAGACCUCUACUUACUAACUAGUGGUAUUUAUUUGGUCAAUACGGGAGAUAGUCAUUUGGUGUUGGUAGUAGGACGUCAAAAUCUUAUUAUUCUUCAUUGAGUGGUGUGUAUCCUGAUCAGAUAGGUACUAACUUAAAAAAUAAACUUCUUAGAAGGACUACCUACCUCAAGUGGGGGGAAGUCGGAGGCAAUAACAGGUCUGUGAUGCCCUUAGAUACCUUGGGCUGCACGCGCGUUACAAUGUAGGCGAGAAAAAGGUUUCCGGAAUCGAAAGGUUUCGGUAAUCAUUUGAAUUGCCUACGUAAUGGGGAUUAAUUUUUGUAAUUAUCGAUUAUCAACGAGGAAUUCCUUGUAAGCGUAAAUCAUUACUUUACGCUGAAUAUGUCCCUGCCCUUUGUACACACCGCCCGUCGCUCCUACCGAUCGAACGAUUAGGUAAAACUGACGGACUAGGCGACUUUUAACCAUGGUUGAUCCGGUGAACCUGCAGAAGGAUCAUGCCAGUAGUCAUAUGCUUGUCUCAAAGAUUAAGCC